rnacentral:misc_RNA from 1 species
GCUGCAUCUUUAUCAAAGUAAAUACCAGUGAAACACCUUGUCAGUUCCUCUCCUGAUCUCAUUUUAUCUGAUAUUCUUCUACUUCUCAUAUACAAAUCCUCUGCUUCUAUAGCUGCAGCCAAUGUCCGAUGUACAACUAUAUCAGGAUAUCGACGCAAGGGUGAAGUAAAAUGUGUGUACAGAGGAACAGCCAGUGCAUAAUGACCCCAAUCAUUCAUCUUAUCUUUCAUAGCACCACUGCAAAAGUAGGUAGCCAGCUGCAUUGGUCUUGAAGCAUAAGACAUCAAAAUAUCAAACAGCACACUAUCAUCCUUCAGCUUUUCCCUGAUGUGUUGCAACGACCGAUUAAAGUUACCAGAAGAGGAAGUAUCCAAUUCUAGACCAUGCUUGCAACAAAAAGCUUCAAACUC